UUGCUUCUCUGAGAGUUAGCGGCGGACGGGUGAGUAACACGUAGGCAACCUGCCUGUAAGAUCGGGAUAACUACCGGAAACGGUAGCUAAGACCGGAUAAUCGGUAUCUCCGCAUGGAGAGAUCGUGAAACACGGAGCAAUCUGUGGCUUACGGAUGGGCCUGCGGCGCAUUAGCUAGUUGGUGAGGUAACGGCUCACCAAGGCGACGAUGCGUAGCCGACCUGAGAGGGUGAACGGCCACACUGGGACUGAGACACGGCCCAGACUCCUACGGGAGGCAGCAGUAGGGAAUCUUCCGCAAUGGACGCAAGUCUGACGGAGCAACGCCGCGUGAGUGAUGAAGGUUUUCGGAUCGUAAAGCUCUGUUGCCAGGGAAGAACGCCAAGGAGAGUAACUGCUCUUUGGGUGACGGUACCUGAGAAGAAAGCCCCGGCUAACUACGUGCCAGCAGCCGCGGUAAUACGUAGGGGGCAAGCGUUGUCCGGAAUUAUUGGGCGUAAAGCGCGCGCAGGCGGUUU
rnacentral:rRNA from 1 species